rnacentral:lncRNA from 1 species
ACCUUGUGCGGCAGGUUGUGCGACGCACACUUGAGGUUGUGCAAUUACUUAUGCGCCGCCUAGACUAACACAUAUGCUCACUAUUUUGGUUUAGAGAUAGGAUGUACGACACAUACUUAAUGAUGUGCGAUAACAUUUGCACCGCACACCCUUCCAAUUUCAACAUAUAUUCGUCUUUGAAUUGGGUCAACCCUACCCGAAUUUCAUUCUUUC